UAUUGCACAAUGGGCGCAAGCCUGAUGCAGCCCUGCCGCGUGUGUGAAGAAGGCCUUCGGGUUGUAAAGCACUUUCAGUAAGGAGGAAAGGGUAGUCUUUAAUAGAGGUUAUCUGUGACGUUACUUACAGAAGAAGCACCGGCUAACUCCGUGCCAGCAGCCGCGGUAAUACGGAGGGUGCGAGCGUUAAUCGGAAUUACUGGGCGUAAAGCGUACGCAGGCGGUUUGUUAAGCGAGAUGUGAAAGCCCCGGGCUCAACCUGGGAACUGCAUUUCGAACUGGCAAACUAGAGUGUGAUAGAGGGUGGUAGAAUUUCAGGUGUAGCGGUGAAAUGCGUAGAGACCUGAAGGAAUACCGAUGGCGAAGGCAGCCACCUGGGUCAACACUGACGCUCAGACGAA
rnacentral:rRNA from 1 species